rnacentral:rRNA from 1 species
UACAGAGGGGGCAAGCGUUAUUCGGAAUUAUUGGGCGUAAAGAGCUCGUAGGUGGUUCGGUAAGUCGGAUGUGAAAUCUCCAGGCUCAACCUGGAGGGGUCAUUCGAUACUGCCGUGACUAGAGGUCGGUAGGGGAGUGUGGAAUUCCUGGUGGAGCGGUGAAAUGCGUAGAGAUUAGGAAGAACACCAGUGGCGAAGGCGACUCUCUGGACUGUAACUGACGCUGAGGCUCGAAAGCGUGGGGAGCAAACAGG